rnacentral:sRNA from 1 species
UCCAGGUCAACUGCCGUACGCGCCCGGG